rnacentral:rRNA from 1 species
AUUGAACGCUGGCGGCAGGCCUAACACAUGCAAGUCGAGCGGAUGAGGAAAGCUUGCUUUUCGAUUCAGCGGCGGACGGGUGAGUAAUGCCUAGGAAUCUGCCUGUUAGUGGGGGAUAACUCGGGGAAACUCGGGCUAAUACCGCAUACGUCCUACGGGAGAAAGUGGGGGAUCUUCGGACCUCACGCUAACAGAUGAGCCUAGGUCGGAUUAGCUAGUAGGUGAGGUAAUGUCUCACCUAGGCGCCGAUCCGUAACUGGUCUGAGAGGAUGAUCAGCCACACUGGAACUGAGACACGGGCCAGACUCCUACGGGAGGCAGCAGUGGGGAAUAUUGGACAAUGGGCGAAAGCCUGAUCCAGCCAUGCCGCGUGUGUGAAGAAGGUCUUCGGAUUGUAAAGCACUUUAAGUUGGGAGGAAGGGUAUUCACCUAAUACGUGGGUACUUUGACGUUACCAACAGAAUAAGCACCGGCUAACUCUGUGCCAGCCGCCGCGGUAAGAC